rnacentral:rRNA from 2 species
UGAGGAAUAAUGGUCAAUGGACGCAAGUCUGAACCAGCCACGUCGCGUGAAGGAAGACGGCCCUACGGGUUGUAAACUUCUUUUGUAAGGGAAUAAAGUGAGCCACGUGUGGCUUUUUGCAUGUACCUUACGAAUAAGGAUUGGCUAACUCCGUGCCAGCAGCCGCGGUAAUACGGAGGAUCCGAGCGUUAUCCGGAUUUAUUGGGUUUAAAGGGUGCGCAGGCGGGAGAUUAAGUCGGCGGUGAAAUUUUGCAGCUUAACUGUAAAAGUGCCAUCGAUACUGGUUUCCUUGAGUGUAGAUGAAGUAGGCGGAAUUUGUGGUGUAGCGGUGAAAUGCAUAGAUAUCACGAGGAACUCCGAUUGCGCAGGCAGCUUACUAGGCCAUAACUGACGCUCAGGCACGAAGGCGUGGGGAUCAAACAGG